AUUGAACGCUGGCGGCAUGCCUUACACAUGCAAGUCGCACGGUAACAGGUCUUCGGAUGCUGACGAGUGGCGAACGGGUGAGUAAUACAUCGGAACGUGCCUAGUAGUGGGGGAUAACUACUCGAAAGAGUGGCUAAUACCGCAUGAGAUCUACGGAUGAAAGCAGGGGAUCGCAAGACCUUGUGCUACUAGAGCGGCCAAUGGCAGAUUAGGUAGUUGGUGGGAUAAAAGCUUACCAAGCCGACGAUCUGUAGCUGGUCUGAGAGGACGAUCAGCCACACUGGGACUGAGACACGGCCCAGACUCCUACGGGAGUCAGCAGUGGGGAAUUUUGGACAAUGGGCGCAAGCCUGAUCCAGCAAUGCCGCGUGCAGGAUGAAGGCCUUCGGGUUGUAAACUGCUUUUGUACGGAACGAAAAGCCCUGGGUUAAUACCCUGGGGUCAUGACGGUACCGUAAGAAUAAGCACCGGCUAACUACGUGCCAGCAGCCGCAGUAA
rnacentral:rRNA from 1 species